rnacentral:lncRNA from 1 species
GCCAGCCAGGGCCUAAGGCCCCACCAAAGGGUCACUGCCCCCCCCCCCCAACCACCACCAGGCACCCAGAGCUGGGACCCGGGAGUCGUCCUGGUUCUUCCCUCCCUCCCUUAAUCUCUCUCCAGCGCACUAUCACCUCUCCCUCCCGAAGCCACUGCCUUGGUCCAGGCCCCCUGACCCCACAUCACAAGGACCAUGGUCUAGUUCCCACUUCCCUCACAACCACCCACUGUGGCAGUGACCUUCCUGUAAGAAAAGCUGGUCGCAUCCUUUCCAUGCUGAAUAACCCUGAAGGCCGCAUGUCCUUCUAAACAAAGGCUAACUCCCCUGGAGGACGUGCAGCAUCCUCCCCAGUCUGGCCCCAGCGCAACUCCCGGCCUCAGCCCUCCCCCAUGAAGCUCACACAGCCUCCACUGCUCACUCAAGUCUCCCUGGGGCCACCAGGCUUUUGCACAUGCUGUCCCAGUGCUGACAGCACCCUUAGCCACCUCACCUGCAGUCAACCCCUAAUGCCCUUCAACACUCUGCUUAAAUGUCACUCCUCGGGGGCGUCUUCCCUGCCUGGGGGAUCACUGGAUGCCCCUGCCGCCCAGCCUCCUAUGUCGCCAUGGACUUUGUACAUCUCUGUGCUCUGCCAGUCACUAUGUUCUGGUGUAACUGUGCUUACAUGUCUGUUCUCAUCAUUCUCAUCACUCCACCCGCAACUUCCCUCCGCCCCUGAGCCUUGCAGGCUGGGACUGUGGCUUGCUCAGUGUGUAUCCCGAGCACUCCGCACAGGGCCGGGCACACAGGAGGGACUGGGUAAGGGAAUGUGGAAUGUGGUUUGCACGGGCAGUAGAAGAGGAAAACCAGUCAGGGCACGAAGAUCAGUCAGCUCAGGGGCACAGGGUCCAGGACAGGAAGGGGAGCAGGACUCCUUCCCUCCUUAGGCUCCUGGAGUAGUUGGGGUGGGAGAAGGAGUGUCUGUCCACUAAGACUUUCUGUAGCCCACUGCGGUCCAGCCUGGGCACCUGCCUCCUGCCACACUGGCUUCAGGCCUGGUGGGGCUCCAGGGAGCCCUUGCAGGGCAGGCCAACCUGGAUCCUGGCCUGGGGAGGACAAGGUGGAUGGACACAACCGGACAGAACUGGGCACCAUUUUGGACUUUAUCACUUGCUCCCUGGGCGAGCUUGGGCAAGUUGCUUAACCCUUCUGAGCCUGGUUGCCUCACUAGUGGAACAGGAGCUAAGCUUGCCUCCCUCGGAGAGCACUGGAGCCCGAGUCUGGCACACGACAGGCCCUCAGUAAUUGCUAGUCUUCACCUUCUGGAUGAAAUAUGUCCCUGGAAGCAAUGGCAGCUGAGGGAAGCUGGCUGGUCUACAUCAGACAGGUCCUCCUCUCCCUCUGGAGGAGCCAAUGGGGAUGCCCCCCUCCUGCAACCCUGGCCCUGCCCCCUUCCUAAGCACAGUGAACCUGGGAGGGCGGGGAGAUCUGGGGCCACAGGCUCAGGAAGGCUGAUGGGAGCAGGAAGGAGGCAAAGAAGCAAAGAACCAUCCACAAGGUGCUGAGGACCCCUCAAGAGAUGGACCAGCCGAUGCCUUUCGUCGCCGAAAUGCCAGGUGGGCUGUACCCCUCCAAGGAAAUUGUCGUGUGAGGCAUUGCCCUGCCCAGCGCUGAGAGGUUGCAAAUCAACUUGUACUCUGGGAAUGACAUCGCCCUCCACCUGGACAUCCGUUUCCGUGAGAACGUUGUGGUCUGCAACACAAAGAUGAACGGCAUUUGGGGGUCGGAGGAGCGAAGCCCGAUUGAAAAAAUGCCCUUCAUCCCAGGCCAAAGAUUCUUGAUGAGGAAACAGACUCACAAGUGCAGGUUACUGGCCUGAGGUCACACAGAUGAUACGUGCCAGAUGGAGCCCAAGAAUGAGGUGCGCAUCACGUGUGAAGCCAACUGCUUCAGGGUGGAUGUGAAUGGUGGGCACCUGUGUGAGUACUACCACCGCCAGAACAACUUGUCCUCCAUCAACAAGGUGGAAGUGGUGGGCGACAUCAAGGAGAUUCAGAUUCAGAUGCAGGAGGGAUCCCUGGCCUGGGCUCUAGGGCUGGGGCACAUUGCUGUCUGGAUCUGCUCAUCACCUCCACCUUCCCCGUCCCUGCCCCAGCCCCAGCCCUUCCCAGCCUGCAGAGGGUCUCUUUUCUGGGGAGACCACGCCCUUGUCUGGCCUUGAUGAAGCUUCAGCCAGCCUGGAGUGCCGAGGGCAGCUGGCUGGGACCACCUUUCUU